GUCAGCACCUAUAUCACCCUGCAACUCACAACUGGCAACAACUGUAGCUAACCAGGUGUGAGCCUGGCCAGUACUUGGAUGGGAGACCUCCUGGGAAAGCUAAGGAUGCUGCUGGAA
rnacentral:rRNA from 1 species